rnacentral:lncRNA from 1 species
GGGGAAAGAUCUGUUGUUGUUAAUAAAGGACAGAAGUGGAGGCGGUCGUCAUGGAAGGAAAGGAUUUAUGAGCAGCUUGGAGGAGGUAAAGGACAAGGAUGAGAAAUGAAUGAGAAGAAAAGGAAAAAAGAAUCACUAGUGAAGAAUGAUUGGAGGUAGAGGAAGCCAUAACGGAGAGAAAAGAAUCAUAGGCGAGCCUGAA